rnacentral:rRNA from 1 species
CUUGGUGAACAUAGCAAGCGUGAACCACCCGAUCCCAUCCCGAACUCGGAAGUGAAACCGCUUAGCGCCGAUGAUAGUGUGGCAGGUUGCCAUGUGAAAGUAGGUCAUCGCCAAGCUCUUAAAUAAAAAGCCCUGCUAUAACAGCAGGGCUUUUUUUUUGAUUGAAUA